rnacentral:rRNA from 1 species
CACUCUAAACGGUGAAUCACUUGGCUCGUGUGUCGAUGAAGAGCGCAGCCAGCUGCGUUAAGUAAUGUGAAUUGCAGGACACAUUGAACAUCGAAACCUUGAACGCAUAUUGCGGCCUCGGGCAAUCCUGAGGCCACGCCUGUCUCAGGGUCGGUUGAACGUAGAUCGUGGG